UACGUAGGGGGCAAGCGUUGUCCGGAAUCAUUGGGCGUAAAGAGCGCGUAGGCGGUCCGGUAAGUCGGUUGUGAAAACUGGGGGCUCAACCCUCAGAGGCCGACCGAUACUGUCGGGCUAGAGUCCGGAAGAGGCGAGUGGAAUUCCUGGUGUAGCGGUGAAAUGCGCAGAUAUCAGGAGGAACACCAAUAGCGAAGGCAGCUCGCUGGGACGGUACUGACGCUGAGGCGCGAAAGCGUGGGGAGCAAACAGG
rnacentral:rRNA from 1 species